UACGUAGGGUGCAAGCGUUGUCCGGAAUUAUUGGGCGUAAAGAGCUCGUAGGCGGUUCGUCACGUCGGCUGUGAAAACCUGAGGCUCAACCUCAGGCCUGCAGUCGAUACGGGCGGACUUGAGUACUGCAGGGGAGACUGGAAUUCCUGGUGUAGCGGUGAAAUGCGCAGAUAUCAGGAGGAACACCGGUGGCGAAGGCGGGUCUCUGGGCCGAUACUGACGCUGAGGAGCGAAAGCAUGGGGGAGCGAACAGGA
rnacentral:rRNA from 1 species